rnacentral:rRNA from 1 species
UUGGUGCCUUCGGGAACUCUGAGACAGGUGCUGCAUGGCUGUCGUCAGCUCGUGUUGUGAAAUGUUGGGUUAAGUCCCGCAACGAGCGCAACCCUUAUCCUUGUUUGCCAGCGAGUAAUGUCGGGAACUCCAGGGAGACUGCCGGUGAUAAACCGGAGGAAGGUGGGGACGACGUCAAGUCAUCAUGGCCCUUACGAGUAGGGCUACACACGUGCUACAAUGGCGCAUACAGAGGGCAGCCAACUUGCGAAAGUGAGCGAAUCCCAAAAAGUGCGUCGUAGUCCGGAUUGGAGUCUGCAACUCGACUCCAUGAAGUCGGAAUCGCUAGUAAUCGUGGAUCAGAAUGCCACGGUGAAUACGUUCCCGGGCCUUGUACACACCGCCCGUCACACCAUGGGAGUGGG